rnacentral:rRNA from 1 species
AGUGGCGCACGGGUGAGUAACACGUAGCUUACCUGCCCUCAAGACGGGGAUAACGCUUCGAAAGAGGUGCUAAUACCCGAUAAGCUCACGGUCUCUAGACGACUGCGAGAAAAGCUCCGACGCUUGAGGAGGGGGCUGCGGCCCAUCAGAUAGUUGGUGUGGUAACGGCGCACCAAGUCGAAGACGGGUAGGGGGCCUGAGAGGGUGACCCCCCACACUGGGACUGAGACACGGCCCAGACUCCUACGGGAGGCAGCAGUGAGGAAUAUUGGUCAAUGGGCGCAAGCCUGAACCAGCAACGCCGCGUGGGUGAUGAAGGAUUUCGGUUCGUAAAACCCUUUUCUGUGUGACGAGCAAGGACGGUAGCACAGGAAUAAGCGUCGGCUAACUACGUGCCAGCAGCCGCGGUAAAACGUAGGACGCAAGCGUUAUCCGGAAUUACUGGGCGUAAAGCGCGUGUAGGCGGGUCUGUAAGUCUGUCGUGAAAGCUCCCGGCUAAACUGGGAGAGGUCGAUGGAAACUACAGGUCUGGAGUUUGGCAGAGGAAUGUGGAAUUCCGCGUGUAGUGGUGAAAUGCGUAGAGAUGCGGAGGAACACCAGUGGCGAAGGCGGCAUUCUGGGCCACAACUGACGCUGAGACGCGAAAGCAUGGGUAGCGAACGGGAUUAGAAACCCCGGUAGUCCACGC